ACGACGUCGUUGGAUUCAGCAUCAACUAUAUCAACGAUCCCACACAGAAUUGAAUGUGGGUUUAGUCCCAGCGACGGAGCUUUUCCAGCAAUGGUGAAAGCAGUAGUUGGAGAAGAUGCUCAACUCAAACUGGUUGAGGAUCGUCUCAGCCAAUCUGCUCUUCCUGCUGAGGUGGGCCUAGUGAUAGGCAAGCUGAGUUCCACUCUGGACCGAGGAUUCGUGUUGGAUUUGAUUCCGACCCCGCAAAAUGAUUCUAACGAACCUGCUUGUGCCAUCAUGGAUAGCUCCAAGGACGACAAGAGAAAGAGCUCCAAGUCCAAAUCUCUGGUCAACGAUUCUUCCUCACUUUUCAUCGAUAUGGAUUGGGUCGCUGAACACGCUCGCCAGGUGUCUAGAAUGCUUGUUGGCGGCAUAAAGGUGGUUGGCAUAUACAUUUGGGUUAGUGAGAGUGCAUUCAAGAAUUCAACCGUGGUGCUUUGCCAGACAGUGAAGGGAGUUGCUGAGGCGGCAUCUAGUUUGUGGACUGACUGGGAUGAAAGGCUGCUUCUUCACAUUUGUUAUAGCCCAAGGAGGUGGAACUGCCGAAAUUGCUCACUAUCUUCAAAUAUUACAUCAAGUAGUUUAAGGCCUUGUGAUUUUAAAAUGGGAAAAGUCUUGAGUUCCCUUCAAAUGUUUAGGUGUAUGUACAACUUCAACCUCAGAUUGCCCAUAUUUCAUGAAAAUGCCUCAAAGUUUCAGACAGUGAGUGAUGCUCUUCAUCGUGCUAUAUCUAUUCAUGCCAAAGAGCUUAAAGAUGCAAAGGCCUUGAUUGAUGGUGGAUUGGUUGUUGAUAACGAGCAAUGGUCAUCAGGUGGUGUGCAUGAAGUUGAAUUGCUUCUACCAUUUAUGAACAAUUCUCCAGUUGAAGCAUGCAGCCAAAGAGACGUACUUGGUAUUCUUUACUUUAGUGGUUCGAUAUGUUCUUUUGCAUACCUGAAUUCAAAAGAGCCAAUUUCACAAGCCAUCACUGAUGUAAAGGGAGAUAUCAUCAUGAGUUUGCAAAGUAGGUUGGAUAUUAUCUGUGAUGAAGCAGAGGAUGAUUCAGGUUCUAAUCCUGAUGAUAGCACGGAAGCAAGUGAUGAGAUAUCAACUGAAAAAACUGUUGCCAAACUAAUUUUGCAAUUACUAAGAAACAGAAAAGGAUGCAGCCUUCCACUUCCUAGAAGGGUAUUUGCACCUUGGCUAGCAGGGAUUUAUGUAUGUGACUACUUGCAGCCAUCUGAGACAGUUGAGGUGUUAAGAGAUCACUGUACAGAGCUAUUAUCCGUGAAAUCUCCAGCUGAUGACUCGACGAUUUUGGAGCCAGAAAAAGAAGCCUCAGCCCUUAUAAGUAAAUCUUUCUGGGAUAUAGCUGUGCCGUUUGGUCUGGCUAUUCAACACUUGGGUGAAAAUGAGGGCAGCAUUGAAGACAGAGGAGAGCGUUCAAGUAAAUCUUCAAAGCCAGUUAGCAUUAAUGUUGUGUCUGCGGCUCUUAUCCUUAGCCUCGCAAUCGUGAUUGGUUUUGCCAUCUUGGUGCUAAAGGGUUGACACGUCAAUAAACAUCGAAUCUCUGUGUCUCGAUUUAUUUCUAAACUUGUGAUGGGAGAAUAUGUUUGACGAAUCCAAGCCAGAAACAGAUACUUGUGAGAUCAGUUGAAACCCACCGUAUUCAGCUUAUAAGUCUAGGAACGCUUGUUGGAGUUGUUCUUCGAUGGGAUGGCCAGAACGAUUUCCAGCAAGGUGUAACUACCCCCAGCCCUACAAAAUAAAUAAAUAAAAGCCAUGCAUUUUAUUGUGAAUGUAUAGUCCAGCAUAUUUAUUCUUAACGCAUAAAGAUUGUAACCAUCUUAUAAAAAGACAAUCUUGGAGUUGAUGUUUCUGAAUCAAUCCCCAUCCGUUAUCUUUAAAUUUUGGCACCUAGAUUUCCAAUUUCCUAGACAUUUUUCCUAUAAACGUAAUUAAUGCAUUAGGUAUCAGAAGUAAAUUAAAUUAUGUAUGUUGGCACGUUGCCAUUCAGAAAAAUUAAUGGGCCGGUCCAUUCCCUUGA